rnacentral:RNase_P_RNA from 2 species
UGAGUAGGAUAGGCAAUCGCUGAGCAUUCAAACUUCUUGAGUCUUCUUGAGUGCUUGGAGGAAAGUCCGAACAUUCACUCCAUCUUAAGGGUGGUUUAAAAAAGUAGCGGUUAACGACCGUCGUCCGCCUAAUUUUUCGAGAAAAAUUAGGCGAGAUAGAGGUGCGAACAGAGACGGCCUGAGGCGAAAGCCGAAGACCGCCGAGCACACAAAAGCGUGCUUGGCGAAUUCUAGGAGAAAUCCUGGAGGUGAAACGGCUAAAUCCUUACUGGAUGCAAGAACAAACCAAAAAUUCUGGAAUCAUACAGAAUUUUUUGGAAAAAGUAGUUCGCUUGAGCUUUAAAGUAAUUUAAGGCCCAGAUAGAUGAUUGCCAUAGGUUAUCUCGUAAGGGAUAGCUUAACAGAAUUCGGCUUAUUUCCUGCUCAGGCU